CCUACGGGAGGCAGCAGUGGGGAAUAUUGCACAAUGGGGGAAACCCUGAUGCAGCGACGCCGCGUGAGUGAAGAAGUAUUUCGGUAUGUAAAGCUCUAUCAGCAGGGAAGAAAAUGACGGUACCUGAUUAAGAAGCCCCGGCUAACUACGUGCCAGCAGCCGCGGUAAUACGUAGGGGGCAAGCGUUAUCCGGAUUUACUGGGUGUAAAGGGAGCGUAGACGGUGAUGCAAGUCAGAAGUGAAAGCCCGGGGCUCAACUCCGGGACUGCUUUUGAAACUGUGUAACUUGAGUGCAGGAGAGGUAAGCGGAAUUCCUGGUGUAGCGGUGAAAUGCGUAGAUAUCAGGAGGAACACCAGUGGCGAAGGCGGCUUACUGGACUGUAACUGACGUUGAGGCUCGAAAGCGUGGGGAGCAAACAGGAUUAGAUACCCGAGUAGUC
rnacentral:rRNA from 1 species